rnacentral:rRNA from 1 species
AUUCCGGUUGAUCCUGCCGGAGGACAUUGCUAUUGGGAUUCGAUUUAGCCAUGCUAGUCGAGCGAGUUUAGACUCGCGGCGAAUAGCUCAGUAACACGUGGCCAAGCUCCUCUUCAGUCAGCGAUACCCUCGGGAAACUGAGGUUAACAGCUGAUACAAAACGCCAGCUGGAAUGCGGCGUUUCAGAAAGACAUCGCUGAAGGAUGCGGCUGCGGCCGAUUAGGUAGACGGUGGGGUAACGGCCCACCGUGCCAGUAAUCGGUACGGGUGAUGAGAGUCAGAGCCCGGAGACGGAAUCUGAGACAAGAUUCCGGGCCCUACGGGGCGCAGCAGGCGCGAAACCUUUACACUGCACGGAAGUGCGAUAGGGGAAUCCCAAGUGCGAGGGCAUAUUAGCCCUCGCUUUUCUCGACUGUAAGGUGGUCGACGAAUAAGAGCUGGGCAAGACCGGUGCCAGCCGCCGCGGUAAUACCGGCAGCUCAAGAGAUGUCCCAUAUUAUUGGGCCUAAAGCGUCCGUAGCU